GACGAACGCUGGCGGCGUGCUUAACACAUGCAAGUCGAACGAGAAUUAAAAGUGGAAAUUUUCGGAUGGAAACAUUUAAUGAAAGUGGCGGACGGGUGAGUAACACGUGGGCAACCUACCCUAUAGACCGGGAUAACUCGUGGAAACGCGUGCUAAUACCGGAUAAUACAUGGAAACUCAUGUUUUUAUGUUGAAAGAUGGUUCUGCUAUCACUAUAGGAUGGGCCCGCGGCGCAUUAGCUAGUUGGUGAGGUAACGGCUCACCAAGGCGACGAUGCGUAGCCGACCUGAGAGGGUGAUCGGCCACACUGGGACUGAGACACGGCCCAG
rnacentral:rRNA from 1 species